CCAUUUUGUUAAGUUAAAAAUAAUGGACAGUUUAAGAUGACGCAUUGGACCUUUAAAAAAAUAAAAAGAAUCAUUAAUAGUACAAAUAAAAAUAAUGAUAGAUGGUUGCUUUGACGUAAGUACUUCAUUGAAUGUUAGUUAUAUAAUUGAAAAAAUAUCGUCACUUUUACUGAGAAAAUAAUCUAUACUAAUGAGGGUGGUGAAUUUAAAGACUUACGAGGACGGACUACUAAACCACUUCAUCUUAUAUGAGCCAAAAUUAUGUAUAUACAUAG